AUAGCUUCCUGAACAAGCCUAAUCCCGUCUGAUCUCAGAAGUUAGCAGGGUUGGGCCUGGUUAGUACUUGGAUGGGAGACCACCUAGGAAGACCAGGU
rnacentral:rRNA from 1 species